rnacentral:rRNA from 1 species
AAGACCUUGCGCUUUUGGAGCGGCCGAUGCCUGAUUAGCUUGUUGGUAAGGUAAAAGCUUACCAAGGCUUCGAUCAGUAGCUGGUCUGAGAGGACGACCAGCCACACUGGGACUGAGACACGGCCCAGACUCCUACGGGAGGCAGCAGUGGGGAAUUUUGGACAAUGGGGGCAACCCUGAUCCAGCCAUGCCGCGUGAGUGAAGAAGGCCUUCGGGUUGUAAAGCUCUUUCAGCCGGAACGAAACGGUUACGGUUAAUACCCGUGACUAAUGACGGUACCGGAAGAAGAAGCACCGGCUAACUACGUGCCAGCAGCCGCGGUAAUACGUAGGGUGCGAGCGUUAAUCGGAAUUACUGGGCGUAAAGCGUGCGCAGGUGGUUUUGUAAGUCAGAUGUGAAAGCCCCGGGCUCAACCUGGGAAACU